CAGGCUGGGAAGGAGGUGGUGGUGGUGGCAGCACCAGCAGGAGAUGCAAGAAUGUCUAAAGACUCUUUAGGGCCAACACUACACUAGCAUCAGCGUGCUGCUGGUGGUCCCAGGGCUUGGCAGGAGCUAUGCUCUGGGGCAGGCUGCCUGCCAGCUCCGUGUGAGUGGGUGCCUGUCACAUCAAGGCCAGAGAGGUGCCUGCCAUGGUGCUGGCAGGAGCCUGGCAUAAUGCUUGUGGAUUGCAGGUGCCGCUGUAUUUUUGGCUGGCAGGGCUCUUGCAGUGAGAUGCCCGGCAGUGCUGGACUAACCUCCAGCAUUCACUGCAGCUCUUGCAGGGUGCAGCAGCAGCUUAACUUCCCCUGGGAGAGAUUAUAAAACAAUAUGUUGUUGGUUUAUAUAUUUAAUGUGGUAGUAAAUUAAAUGAGGAGCUCAGCAUUUAAUUGCAAAGCUCAAAAAGCCAGAUAUUAUCCAUGAGCCCUGACAUCUUCCCACUGAUAUUUCACAUCCCCGUGGCACUGGCUGGUCAGAGCUGAUCUCUUUGCUCCCAACACAUCUUUCUCAUAACCAGAGAUGAUGCUCUAGUGCCUGCAGCAAAGCCUCCAGGAAAAAACCUUCCUGGUGCCCCACUCGCACCAGACCCCGCUUCUCUCUGGCUCUUCCCACCGCACUGUGGGGUUUUGUGGCAGGCACUGUGCAGGGCUCAGGCACAUAGAGCUCACCGCAGGCUGGGAUGCAUGGCCUUGCUGGCUGGCAGCAUCCCUGAGCCCAGCCGCAGCUCAGCACGCUGAUGGCCGCCUGCAGAGCAGUCUGGAGGCUGGGGCUGUGCUCAGUACAGGCAGGGCUCUGAGCAUCCGUGCUUAUCCCUUUUAGUUUUGCUGUUUGUCCCAGCUGGGUUCACCCUCCCAUGCCCUGAGUGAACCUGGCCAGGUGGGAACAGGCUGGAUCCAGAAGCUGCUGCCUGAUGAAGCAACACCAUUUACCUGGCUGCAGAAGUUGCCCCACUUGCUUGGCCGGGUGCCUCCUGCCAGCCCAGCAGCAUCGCUGUCUGUGAGUCCUGUCUUUUUGCCAAAGGCCAAAGACUGUAAACCAGAGUUUUGGGUGGCACAGCCCAGGCAGGUGAGGGUUACUCAUAUACAUGGGGCCCCUUCGACAGAGUCACUAUUUACUGUGGGUGUCACCUUCCCCCCUUACAGGUCUUACCCUGCAUCCUUGCAAGCACAUGGAUAGAAGCAGCAAAUCCCAUGAGCUCCUCGCACCUUCCCUCCCUGGGUUGUCACACCAAUUUGGCAGCAUCUUUGCUGCAGCAGGUGCUGGGUGGCUCUGCUCUGAUACCCUGGUUCAGCAACACAGCGCCUGGACCUGCUGUGGGAGGUUUUGUUUUUCUGGGGUUUUUAUUAUUAUGUUAUCAUUUUUUCUUCUUCCAUCUUAAUGUGCUUUUUAAUGUCAUGUUGAACUUGCUGUCACACAUUCACAGAGGGGUGCGCAUACCUGUAACAGAAUAACCUGCUCCCAAGCAACUCCCACACAGACUCUCUAAUCUGAAGCAAAA
ensembl:lncRNA